CUCUCUCCUACCUCUCUUCCUUUCUCCCUCUCUCCUUCUCUCCCUGUCUUUCCCUCUCCCUCUCCUUCCUCUCUCCCUCUCUUCUUCUGUCCCCUUCUCCUUCUCCUUCUGCCAUAAAAUGAAAAAUAAAAAAAGUAGUGAAUAAGAGUAAGUAAAUAAUAGAAAAGCAAGAGCCCAUCACCCCCUGAAUCUCUUGUAGAUUGUUUUUAAGGUAUGAGGAAACCUCUUAGGUUUCUAGGUUUCUCUUAAUUUCUCCCAUUAGAAUUCAACUGACCAGCAUUAACAUU
rnacentral:lncRNA from 10 species